GCACCGGAGCGGGCCCGCCGGCCCCGAGGCUCUCUCCCGGGCCUGAGGCGGUCCCGCCGCCCAGCCGUGCCGGGUGCUUUUGCUGAGGGAAGCCGCCUCCCGCCGGAGUGCGGAGGGCGCUGGGCGGGAGAGCUGACCGCUGCCCCCGCUUCUCUGAAGGCAGGCGAAGGGCCCCGUCCGUCCCCAGCACUGUAGCUGUUGGGGCAAAGCGUAAAGGGCUGAAGCUUUGGACAUUUCCCAACCUUAACGGCAAGAACGGCUCCCCGUUGAUAACAGCGUGCGUAAGGUCCGUGCUGUUAGUCAGACACGCGGAAGGGAUGUUGCUGAGGAAACCCGGUUGAUAAAAUCGUCCUCAAGUGUGACUGAAACCCACCGUUCCCCUCCGAGCCAAAAGGAAAAGAGUGAAGUAAAGAUAACGCGGGCCUGGGGGGCACGUCUGAGCCAAGCCCUCCAGGAAGGAUGCCUCCACACCGUGUGUGCCGCAGCUGUUGCACUUUACACCAGGCAGCUGAAGAACUAGAAAGAAAACAAUUACAGUAAUAGUUAAAAGACCCAGCUGUGCCCUACCACAGGCUUAUUACAGCCCAUGAAAGUUAUUGUUGAAUCAAAUUUAAUGUAGACUUUGAGUUAAUUAAGCAUAGGCU